rnacentral:tRNA from 1 species
GCCGGCGUGGCGGAAUCGGCAGACGCACGGGACUUAAAAUCCCGGGACCUUUGGUCGUGUGGGUUCGAGUCCCACCGUCGGUA